rnacentral:lncRNA from 10 species
AAGUAACCCAGAGGAGAGUAGGCCAGGGGUUUUGUGUCAGUGGGUGGAACGCAUUUGCUGUGAAAUGUGAUGGAAUGUUUACUGAGCUAUUUUCCUCAAAAAUAAAAAUGUUCCUGCUCUCAUAUCCAGUUUACACAGCAGUAGCCUUUUUAAAAAUGUUGCCUCCGCGAUGGGCGGGCAGGCUUCGUGUUGCUCUCUUUGGAAGUAAUGGCUCAAGGUUGUGCCUGGCUACGCUCACACUGUUGGGCAAAAGCACAGACAGAUACGCUCCAUUUCCAAGCAUGUGGGAGCUGAGUUCCAUCUCUUUCAGGUUAACAUAUGUGUUUCUAUGCCUGACUCUCAACCUUGGACCUGUACCUCUGCAAUCACUUGGCCCUGGAUGGAUGAGGGAGGGUGGCAUGUGAAUAGAAACUGGACCAGGGAGACCACCAAGGAAUGAUGUGCCCUCGAGCAAGAGUCUCGCUCUAUUGCCCAGGUUGGAGUGCAGUGGCGCGAUCUCGGCUCCCUGCAGCCUCCGCCUACCGGCUUCAAGUGAUUCUCCUGCCUCAGCCUCCUGACUUUUUCUUUUUCUUUUCUUUUUUUCUUUCUUUUUUUUUUUUUUUUACAGUGGAUCCUGCAUUAGAAAACCACCAACUUAUUGUAACUUUUAGUUAAUUAUAAAAAGAUAACUUUGUCAUUGUUCAAUCUUAUAAAACAAUGAAACCAAGUAUAAACUAUUUUAAGUAAAUUGCUUUUAUGGGAUUUCUCUUUUCAGAAUUGACUGUGGCUCCAUGGUUUGUUGUAAUUAAUUAAACCGUGUUCAUUUGGAG